rnacentral:rRNA from 2 species
AUGAACGCUGGCGGCGUGCUUAACACAUGCAAGUCGAACGGUGAAGGGAAGCUUGCUUCUUGGAUCAGUGGCGAACGGGUGAGUAACACGUGAGCAAUCUGCCCUUGACUCUGGGAUAAGCGUUGGAAACGACGUCUAAUACCGGAUAUGAGCUGUGACCGCAUGGUCGACAGCUGGAAAGAACUUCGGUCAAGGAUGAGCUCGCGGCCUAUCAGCUUGUUGGUGAGGUAAUGGCUCACCAAGGCGUCGACGGGUAGCCG